AGGAAUAAUCCAGGUCGCCUUCACUGGAAAUCAGUUUGCUGAAACUAUUGAUACGCAGUUCUUAACGCUGAAGAAAAGGACCAAGCCACCAGGUCCCUCCUGGAGAGCUCUUGGCACCUCCAGCAGUCUCCUGGCCUGCAGCGAUGCCCUGGGUGGGCAGUCGUCCAGCCGUGCUCUUCCGCAGCACAAGCAGAGCCCUCCAGGGGCCUCCAUCUCACACAGCAUGUGGAAGUUCCCAGGCCAGGGAUCGCACCCGUGCCGCAGCAGUGACCCAGGCCCCUGCAGUGACAACACUGGAUUCUUACGCUGCUGCGCCACAAGAGAACUCCUUUAUGCUCCCUUUUCUUGUUAAAAAGGACAGUAAUAGGAGUAGCUGACACUGUCCCACCAAACUGCAGGAGAAGCCUGCGUGUGUGUUUGUGUCUCUCUGUGGCUCUGAUCUUCCCCACAGGCCGUCCGGUCCAGAGCCCCCCUGAUGUCAGCCGCAGGGCGCAGGAGCCAGGAGCCGAGCUGUGGUGUUCAAUCCAGAGAUGCUUGUUGAGCACCUGCUAUGUGAAGAGGCAUCCUGCCGGCCCAGGAGGAUAUUAUCACUAGGAAGACGCAUUUGUCGUUACCCGAGGAGCGCAUAGUCCGGUGGUGACAUCGGCGGCCCAGCCGGUUAGGCGGUGGCCCCUGAUGUCUGACACAGAGGCUGAUUGGCCCAGCUUAUCUUUUUGAGGCAAACUACACAUUUCCAAAGGUCCUGGCAGAGUCUGGCGGAGCCAGCCCUGGCCCAGCAGGCCGCCUGCUCUCGUCGGCUGAUGAUGCGAUGUGUGUGUGGUUCUUUCAUGUCUCGUCUUUCCUCAAGCCUGCCUCCCAAGGCCCAGGCUCUUUCCGCAGAGCUUCAGACCCGUUACCCAGCUGAGAGCUGUUCCGAGUGCCGAGCGUCGGCAUGCAGAUCGUGCCUCACCGAUCGUCCCAAGGUUAAGGAGCUGGCGCUGGGGCGUGUGUAGACCAGCUGUGCGUGGUGCACGCUCAGCUCGGCUGACACGCUCUUCACGCGAGACCCUCUCCGUGAAGGAAGCAGCGCCCUCCUCGGCGGUCUGGCACAGCUUCUGUCUCUUCUCAGGUCCUGCGCCUUGACCACACGAGCGUGGCCCUUCCUCCAGACCCCCGCUCCGGACGCGCCCACCUAGCGUCUCCCAGGAACCAUGCGGCAGCUCAAGGGGAAGCCCAAGAAGGAGACGUCCAAGGACAAGAAGGAGCGGAAGCAGGCCAUGCAGGAGGCCCGGCAGCAGAUCACCACCGUGGUGCUGCCCACGCUGGCCGUGGUCGUGGUCCUGAUCGUGGUGUUUGUGUACGUGGCCACGCGCCCCACCAUCACCGAGUGAGGGCCCGCCCCGAGGGAGGAGGCUCGGGAGGGGAGAGCAGAAGAAGGGCCUUCAUCCGCUGCGAUUUUCCUGAUGCCGAGCUCUGAGCAGGAGCCCCCGUCUGCUCUGGUCUGUGACUUGAUUAAAGGUUCUCCACUUUUCUUGGGAGGGAAUAGGAAACGUUUUAUCAGUGAACGUGCCAUACACUUUAUGGUCCACUUCAUGUGCCUUUCAGACUUCAAAGCCGUGUGUGUGUGUGUGUGUGUGUGUGUGUGUGUGUGUGUGUGUGUGUUUCUCGCCUGCAAUCGAUGUGUAGCCCCACCUGGUGAGAGGAGGCGUCUCUGGGUCACGGAUCAGUUGGAAUCAGUGCUCACCCCAUCCCCGUUGUUUUGAACAUGACUUUCCUACACGUGUUCACAAUUUCCAAAGGGACUGUGUUUCUUCUCUGUGCUUCAUGUGAUUUGAAAUAUGUCGACUCAAAAGUGAAAUAUUUAUUUUUUGAAUAAAGGAGAUGAUAGCCUUA
ensembl:lncRNA